GCCGGGAUGGCGGAAUUGGUAGACGCACAGGACUUAAAAUCCUGUGGGAAGUUUUUCCCGUGCCGGUUCGACUCCGGCUCUCGGUA
rnacentral:tRNA from 2 species